rnacentral:pre_miRNA from 7 species
UUUUCCAUACAGCAACGAAUAAUAGUUUUGAAAGAACCUAGUGGGGAAACCCCCACUCAACUCCCGAUUCGGCGUGCACCCAAGAAUCACGAAUAGAACA